CUUUGAGAGAGUGCAUUGGAUGCUCCUCGGGCUUAUGACGGAUGUACUUGAAGCCAUUCAGCUGGAAAAUCCUAUAUACUGAGCGACGCCAACUUCCUGAGCGAUUCGAACGAAGAGGAAAUGCGAACGUGGGAUGAGUGAAUGCGAAAAAUGAGAAGAAGACGGAUGGAAAAAAAUAGGAAAAAGGAAAAAGAAAUGCCAAAAGAUAGACAAAGGCAAUGGCAUAGUUUUUUUGCGCGUAUAAUGGUAACUGACACGUUGUCUGCUCCAAACACAAAUAGAGCAACAGUGCAAGGAUGUAGAGAGAAAGAGAGAGAGAGAGAGAGAUGGACAAAGAGUGAGAGGGAGAGGGGCGAUAUAGCACAGAAUAAAUAGCUGGGCGAGAAAAAAAGGGAAAAUCAUUGCAAUAGGAAAUGAAAAUGCUGCGAACUGAGAGCGAGAGAGAGAGAGAGAGAGAGAGAGAGAGGGAGGAAAUCGAAACGAGACAGCAAAAUCAAUAGGAAACAGUAUGAGGAUAUUUAAGCAGGAUAUUUAAUAUGAGCACCUAAAGCUUUAUAACCUUUAUAACUGGCAUACA